CUAGGGGUGAGCAAAACCGAACCGAAACCGAAAAACCGAACCGAACCGUACAAUUUCGGUUCGGUUCGGUUUCAUUUUUCUGAAAAUUUCGGUUAUUUCGGUUUUUCGGUUUGAACCGAAAAGAAGUUCGGUUCGGUUCGGUUUUUGAUAUAGUAUUUCGGUUUAAACCGAAAUAACCGAAAUUUUUAUUAAAUCAAAAAUAAAUAUAUAAUAUAUUACAUAUAUACAGAUAAGAUAACCCCAGGAAUUAGAAUCUAAUAUCCCACUGGUCAGUUCUCUCAUCUCCUGGGCUCUCCGACCCACCCAAACUCUAGCCUCCAACUCUCCAUCAUGAAACAAAUCUGAAUCAUAGUAACACGAAUCUUCUCAUCUUCAUCUCCUGGAGGCAGUAACUCAAACUCCAACCAUGACUUCAAAGUACCCUGAUUCGAGUUCUUGUAUAAUGUAAAAUCAUCAUUGUAUGGGUAUUCUUGGCCAGCAAAUGUUGCCACCACUACAUCUGUCAUGAAGCUACCUACGUCAGUUUUAUCAACAAGACAACAACAGCAAGAGCAUAAUCAGUAACUAAGAGGCUGACCAAAAGGCGGUUCCUGAGAAGUCAUCUAAAGCAAAGCCAGCCUCUGGAAAAGACAGUACAUUUAGCUAAAAGGAUGGGGAUUUUGUGCAGAAUUCUGAUCACAUACUGCUUUUUAACUUCGUGGAGCAACAUGAGGUAUAGUAAGGGGAUGGAACAAACUUAGUGUGUAUGUACAAAGAUUAGAUAUGAGAUCAAACAGUUUCAUCUAAAAGAAGUUGUUUCAUGUCACUUAAAGGAAGGUUGUGUCUGCAUCCUAGGGCCAUAAAUUGAUAUUUUCAUUUACAGUCUGACCAUAGAAUUGAUAUAGUUCUAAGCCAUGUGAAUCUAUUAGGUUGUGCUGGGACAAGUUUCCCUCAGUAAUGUUAAUCUACUAAAUUUGAAUAACAUGCAGUGCACUUCUCAUAAAUGAGUAAGAUUUUAUUGGUGUGUGCACUAUAUAUAUGCCUAUAAUCUUUAAAUUUGCGUGAAACCCUGGUAUGUGGUAUGCAGGGUGCUGGUCGACAUCACGUCUUGGUCAUGUCGCAUGAUCAUUUUGUUUGUUAUACCCUGGUUAACUUAUUUCUAUCCUACUUAAAUAUAAUAAAUUUACGUUUUUAAUAUAGCUUUAUAUGAAAACAGUUAGCCUGUUACAAAAUACAAGUAGAAGAAAAUAUUUGGUACUUCAUCACUUUGAAAUUGGCGACUGUGCAUUGCAUUCAUACAUCCCUCAUAACAUCUUUUUAUCCUCUUGUCUUCUCCUUAUAUAUAUACACGCGGAAAGCCAAUAUUGUCACAUGUUGUUCCGAUGCUGCAAAUGAACUCAGUUGGGGACGACUGUGAGAGCCUAUAUGUGUAGGUUUACUUAUGGAUAGGAAGUUACAUAUUUGUGCAUUUCAGAAUUGUAGAGUUUGGGUGUAGAUGUUUAUAUAAUAGGAAGUUACACGAGAGAAUGAGUACUAAGUGAGAAGAUAAUACAAGAAUCUUGCGAUUAGGUAAGUUAUUUAUCCUAAUUGCCUGUAGAUGUAGUUUGUAAGAGAAAUUUAUAUUCUAAUGAGUUGAUGCUAUUAUAUUUUUGCCAAGCAAAAACAGCCUCUCUCUUUUCUUUUUCCUUCCGCUAGAAAUAUCCAUUUUUAGAAGCAAACUUAUAUAAUAACAGAAGAUUUGGAAACAUAUUAUAAAUCAUGAUUUUGUACUGAAAACAAAAAAAAUGCAUGAGAUUAACAAUUUGAUUGUCUACCAUAACCAAAUAGUACUGUUCACGGUUUAGUUAAGAGAUAUCUAAAGUUCCAUAUAAGCAUAACAAUAGUGCUUCAAUUCUUUCUUGUAAAAGAACAUUAGAAAAGGUGAUCUAGGAGAGUCCCGAUCUUUAAAUGUGGAGUAUGUAUUAGAGUUACUGGACCAGCAAACCAAGACUAGGGUUAUAACCAUAUAUUUCUUUUGCCAUUAUUUGAUCAAGACUAUGCUUAGUUUGAGAUAAAAAUAGCACCUCAUGCAACAGUUCAUGCAUCAGUCAAGGCACCUAUCUAAUUGUUAUAAUUUUUUGCUUGAUGUCUUCUUAAGCUAUUUUCUAAUUGCCCUUCAGAGCACAUUAACCUAGAGUUAUACAGUCUAUUAGGACACUUCUUUUGGCAUUUUUGAUCGGAUCAGGUAAUCCUUCUAAAAGUUUAUAAAACUUGUUUACUUAAACAUUAUAAGAGAUCUCCUAGAUAUUAGUUGUCCCCAUCUUUUUGUUGAAAUUUGAAUGCGAUUGAUCCAUAGACGAAUAAUCAAUUUUUAUAUGGGUGUCUUUCCCAUCAAUCAAAAGUUAGUUGCUCUGUAUCAUACAAUAAGAAGUCGUAACAGUGAGUAUUAUACGUUGUGUCAUCAUUAUGUUACAUACGUUUCUUAUAUUACAGUUGCAACAACUAUUAGGAUUGUUUUAGCUUUUCUGAAUGUGCCAAUUUGAGGACUUGGUGAAAAUGAUUGGAAGAUAGCAGCCACAUUGGUAGUGACCACAUUUAAAAUAUGUAUGGCAGAUCAAAAGUAGUGGUGAAAGGGGAGAGAGAAAAAAGCUCAAACAGAGCAACUUGCUGGUUGUUGACAUUUUUUCCAACCUGUGGGAGGAGGAAGAAUUUUUGAUUGUAUUGUGGCCAGAGUGCAUCUGUAGUGCGCACAAUUUUCAAAAAUGUUCCAGGCAUAAAGUUAAUUCGUUGGGUUUGGUGUUGGCAUUUAGUUUUACUGUCUUACAUGAUGAGUUCAUUUUUAAUUAUUUGAAUUGACUUAUAUACCUGAUUUUUGUAUGAAAUGCCCUUGGUAAUUUAGUAUUAUGAUUUAUGAUGAUAUUGCAGGACCUUUAUAUAGAGAUCUGGGGUUGGGAACCUAUUUCCUGCAAACCUGAGCCUUUGGUAUCAUUGUUGCACUUGAUUCUGUUUAGCUUGUAUAGUGAAUUAACUUCUAUACCUGAUUUUAGUAUGCAAUGGCUUGGGAGUUUAGUUUUAUGAUUUAUAAGGCCUUUAGACAGAUAUCUGGUUCAGGAACUUAUUUCCUGCGGAUCAGAGCUUUUGGUGUCAUUGUUGUAAUUGAUUUCUUCUCUCUCUUUUUUGCUAUGGUUUAGGGUCUCUUUUGGUUGAUGAAUCAUGGAACACAGUUGAUGAUGCUCCCUCUCGUGGGCCACUUGUAGUUUAGAUAAACUGUGAUGAAUGCUCAUUGCGGCACUUUACAUAUAUUUAGAUGUUUUAAUAUUGAUUUUCAUAUACAAAAUAAAUGAUAGAGUUAAGGUACAUAUACUAUAUACUUAGGUAUGCCUUAUCAUUCAUGCUUUAACUUUGGUCUUCUUCAUUCGGGAUUUUAAAUGCGGAUGCAUAUUAAUGUUCUGUUGUGCUCGUUACUUGAACAUUACACUUUCUGGGAAGAGUUGCAAGAUUUUAACUGUUACCUUCUUGUGAUGCUGAGUUAACUACUUAGGCACCAAGCUACCGAGGGCAGAUGAUUUGGAGCAGUACCCGAAAACAUGUAGUUUUUUUUUUUUUUUUGCUAAAUAAAACAUGUAGUUGUGAUGUGUUCAACAUAGGUAUGUUUCUCUGGUAAGCCUUUGCUUGUGACAUUAUCGUAUGGUAAUGUAGUGUUGUAUUAUCCGGGACUUUAACCAUUGCUGAUAUGCAAAAUUAUUUAGAAAGAUAUCUCCUGAUAUAGAAAAAGAAUAUAAAAAUUAUGGUCUUUCUUGUUCGAUUUUAAAGUGGCUCUUAACAAUUCACAUUGCUUAAAUCUGAUAUGCAGGCAUGCAGAAUUGACAUAAUAAAAUUUUAUCUCUUUUGGAUAGCAUAAGGUUGUGUAAUCUUCACGAGCCAAUUGCCAUUCUCAUGAGCUCUAUGAGUUGAAAAAUCUGUGGUACCAUCUCUCUGUAAUCUUCUGCGUAAGGUGUAGCAGCCGGAGGAGUUGGAGAUUUUGGACGAAUCAGAAUCUGGUAAUGAAAUGCGAGAGUAGUCAAUUACAGGAAGCUCCUUAUUUGGUUUUUUCUUGGUCAAGUUAGUCCUUGACUGUCAACUACAGUUAAAACAGUAGAUGGUCAUUAUUUUUUGAUUAGUACAGUGUGUUAAGAGAUGGACAAUCACCUUUAUGAUUCAACACCGGUCAACUACAAAUUUAUUUGUCUGAAAUAUGAGUUUUCAAUCUCAGAAUCUGCUAUCAUUUGGCUUGUGAUUCCGUCCAAUCUUCUUAGCAAUUACUUACCAGAUAGAUAGAAGUACAUCUUUAGUGCUA